rnacentral:tRNA from 2 species
GGGCCGUUAGCUCAGCGGUAGAGCGUCCGCCUUACACGCGGUAGGUCGGGGGUUCGAAUCCCUCACGGCCCA